UACGUAGGGGGCUAGCGUUGUCCGGAAUCAUUGGGCGUAAAGCGCGCGUAGGCGGCCCGGUAAGUCCGCUGUAAAAGUCAAAGGCUCAACCUUUGAAUGUCAGUGGAUACUGCCGGGCUAGAGUCCGGAAGAGGCGAGUGGAACUCCUUGUGUAGCGGUGGAAUGCGCAGAUAUCAGGAAGAACACCGACGGCGAAGGCAGCUCGCUGGGACGGUACUGACGCUGAGGCGCGAAAGCGUGGGGAGCGAACAGG
rnacentral:rRNA from 1 species